rnacentral:rRNA from 1 species
AGUGGCGGACGGGUGAGUAACGCGUGAGAAUCUGCCUUCAGGUCGGGGACAACAGAGGGAAACUUCUGCUAAUCCCGGAUGAGCCUUAGGGUAAAAAAUUUAUUGCCUGGAGAUGAGCUCGCGUCUGAUUACCUAGUUGGUAAGGUAAAAGCUUACCAAGGCAACGAUCAGUAGCUGGUCUGAGAGGAUGAGCAGCCACACUGGGACUGAGACACGGCCCAGACUCCUACGGGAGGCAGCAGUGGGGAAUUUUCCGCAAUGGGCGAAAGCCUGACGGAGCAAGACCGCGUGGGGGAGGAAGGCUCUAGGGUUGUAAACCCCUUUUCUUUGGGAAGAACAAAAUGACGGUACCAAAGGAAUCAGCCUCGGCUAACUCCGUGCCAGCAGCCGCGGUAAUACGGAGGAGGCAAGCGUUAUCCGGAAUGAUUGGGCGUAAAGCGUCCGCAGGUGGCAAUGUAAGUCUGCUGUCAAAACCCAGGGCUCAACUCUGGUCAGGCAGUGGAAACUACAUAGCUAGAGUUCGGUAGGGGCAAAGGGAAUUCCCGGUGUAGCGGUGAAAUGCGUAGAGAUCGGGAAGAACAUCGGUGGCGAAAGCGCUUUGCUAGACCGAAACUGACACUCAGGGACGAAAGCUAGGGGAGCGAAUGGGAUUAGAUACCCC